rnacentral:rRNA from 1 species
GACGAACGCUGGCGGCGCGCCUAACACAUGCAAGUCGAACGAGCGAGAGAGAGCUUGCUUUCUCAAGCGAGUGGCGAACGGGUGAGUAACGCGUGAGGAACCUGCCUCAAAGAGGGGGACAACAGUUGGAAACGACUGCUAAUACCGCAUAAGCCCACGGAACCGCAUGGUUCUGGGGGGAAAGGAGCAAUUCGCUUUGGAAUGGACUCGCGUCCGAUUAGCUAGAUGGUGAGGUAACGGCCCACCAUGGCGACGAUCGGUAGCCGGACUGAGAGGUUGAUCGGCCACAUUGGGACUGAGACACGGCCCAG